rnacentral:rRNA from 1 species
UACGUAGGGCGCAAGCGUUGUCCGGAAUUAUUGGGCGUAAAGAGCUCGUAGGCGGUUUGUCGCGUCUGCUGUGAAAACCCGAGGCUCAACCUCGGGCCUGCAGUGGGUACGGGCAGACUAGAGUGCGGUAGGGGAGAUUGGAAUCCUGGUGUAGCGGUGGAAUGCGCAGAUAUCAGGAGGAACACCAAUGGCGAAGGCAGAUCUCUGGGCCGUAACUGACGCUGAGGAGCGAAAGCAUGGGGAGCGAACAGG